rnacentral:rRNA from 1 species
CAGCAACGCCGCGUGAGUGAUGAAGGCCUUCGGGUCGUAAAACUCUGUCCUCAAGGAAGAUAAUGACGGGACUUGAGGAGGAAGCCCCGGCUAACUACGUGCCAGCAGCCGCGGUAAUACGUAGGGGGCUAGCGUUAUCCGGAUUUACUGGGCGUAAAGGGUGCGUAGGCGGUCUUUCAAGUCAGGAGUGAAAGGCUACGGCUCAACCGUAGUAAGCUCUUGAAACUGGGAGACUUGAGUGCAGGAGAGGAGAGUGGAAUUCCUAGUGUAGCGGUGAAAUGCGUAGAUAUUAGGAGGAACCCCAGUUGCGAAGGCGGCUCUCUGGACUGUAACUGACGCUGAGGCACGAAAGCGUGGGGAGCAAACAGGAUUAGAUACCCUGGUAGUCCACGCUGUAAACGAUGAGUACUAGG